UUUGCUAUUUGUAACAGCCUUUGGAUUUGGCUUUUAGCCCAUUUUGACUGUAUGGUCAGCCUUUUGCUGUUGGCUUUGCUAGCCUAAGGUUUUUGGCUAUUUGUAACAGCCUUUGGAUUUGGCUUUUAGCCCAUUUUGACUGUAUGGUCACUUUUGCUGUUGGCUUUGUUAGCCUUUUGGUUUGGCUUGUUUAGCCUCUUAGUUUUAGCUCUUGGUUUGCCUAUUGAUUUGACUAUUUUACAGCUAGCAAUUUGCUGUUGCUGACAAGUAUCUGAAAUUUAUUUAUGAUCCAUAUUGAAGUUAAAAUUUGCUAGUGAAUCAUAUUUCGUUAAGUUGUAUCAUGGCAAAUUUCAAGAUUACUGAUCGCUCGCUUAAUGGGUUCAAGGGAGCUGUUACUAGAGCGUUACAUAGUGCUACAGCAGCUAUUGAUGUAACUAGUCCAACUUUGAUGACUGUAAAAUCCAAUGUGGAAACGUUACAAAAGCGUUGGAACAAAUAUUUGGAGGUAUGGGAUCAAUAUAUCUCUGAAAGAGAUUCUUUGAGUGAUGAUGAGUUUGAUGCACUUGAGAAGAAUCAUGCUCAAUAUGAGGUUUUGUAUUAUACAGAGACCAAUAAAUUAUAAGAUGUUUUAGAUCAACUACAGAGUGCAGUUCCUGGAAUUUCCAAUCGUGUUCAAACACAACAGAGUGCCAGGGUACGUUUACCUGAAGUAAAGAUUAACAGCUUUGAUGGAAGGGUAGAAGAAUGGCAAACUUGGUGGGACAAUUUCCAUUCGUUAGUUCAUGAUCGUAAAUAUAUGGACAAGGUAUUGAAAAUGACACACCUUAAGUCCUGUUUGAAAAGUAAAGCAUUGUUAGUUGUCUCAGGAUUUCAGGUCACAGACCAAGACUAUGAUGAUGCUAUUGCAGGUUUGCAAGAUAGAUUUGCUAACCCAGAGAAAGUAAAACAAACAUUAGUGCUUCAGUUGUUUAAUAUGGUUAAGCCUAAGAAUACUGCUUAUGAAUUGGAGCAGUUUAAGCUGGAUUUUGAAAGAAUUAUGAAGACUUCAACACUAUGUUACUGAUUUACAGUCUUCCCAUUGGCUUAUUGCUGUUCUGUUACAGAGCAAGUUGCCUACAGAGGCAGAGAUGUUCAUUUUUCAGAAAUUUCAGACUAAAUAUUUUACGGUUGAUCAAAUCAGUACAGGUCUUGUUGACCACCUUGAAUUUCUUGAUAGGAUGCCAAAUAGUGGCAAAUUAUAGUCUGGUAGUGAUAAAUUUCCACAGGAUAGUGGCAAAUCUCAAGUUAGAGAUAAAGUGAAAUCCUCCAACCAGACACGGCAGGUAUUUACAGAUAAGACUCAGAUUGGAACUUAUUCAGUUGAAGCAACAUCUUCUAAAAACCAGUGUUUAUUGUGUUCAUCAGAUAGUCACAGAGGCAGACGAUGCUCAAAGUAUGCUGAUGCAACUUCCCGAAGAAGUAGACUGAUAGAUAUGGGACGGUGUUCUAGAUGUUUAAGAAAUAAGCAUAAUGGCAGGUGUUUGCAGCCUGUUAAAUGCUUUGUCUGCAAUAAGAGUAAUCAUAAUGAAGUUUUUUGCUACAGCAAUUUCGGAGGUAAGUUGUAAAGUGAGGUGAAAUCAGAUGGUACUGUAAAGUCAGAUAAGCAAGUUAACAGUACUACUACAAACAUUGAAGUUAAGGGUGUAGUUUCAAGUACAAAGAGUGCUGGGUCCAAAUAUUCUUCUGCUUUAGCUAGGGCUCAGGUCAAGGUAUCUAAUAAUGAUAAUUGCAAGUCACUAUGUUCGCUGCUUUUUUUUUAUCCUGGAUCGCAGAUUUCAUUUUUUACUUCCAAGUUAGCUGUGGCACUACAGCUAAAGACUGUUGAGAGUCAACAACUUGUUUUGCAAGGUUUUCAGUCCCAGCCAAAGGAGGGGCAAUUUGAUAUUGUGACACCUCUAGUUUCUUUAGGUAGGAGGAUCAAGAAGAUGAGAGCUGUAAUUGUGGAUGAGUUACCAGGUAGUAUUUCUACACCAGGCAUGCAUAAGGUUUAUCAAAUGCUGCAGGGUAAAGGGAUUAAAACUGCAGAUAAAAUUUCAUCCGACACUGUCUCAGGGAUUUAAUUAAUGGUGGGUUCUGAUUAUUUUGCUGAUUUUCUUGGUGGUGUUACCAAGUAUGAAGGUGUUAGAUUGUUUGAGACACCUGGUGGUUACAUUUCAUUUGGUAAGAUUUCCUGACAAUUCUCCAAUAACCUGGAAACUUCCGUUAAGACAAAUGUUGUUGUUUGCAGAUUAACUGCUAAUAUUUCUCCCCUUCAUGUUAGUGAUUUGAUUGAAGAGAAUAAUGAAUAAGUUCAUGAAUUAUGGGAAUUAGAAUCGAUAGGCAUCAAUCCAACUGCCGCAUCUGUAGAAGAUGAUUGUGUCUACAAAAGGUAUGUCAAUAGUGUUGAGUAUCAAAAUGGACAGUAUUUUGUUCGUCUUCCCUGGAAAGAAAAUUGCCCUCUUUUGACCAACAACUAUAGAAUGGUUUUAGGUCAAGUGUAUACAUUAAGGAAAAAUUUAUCUAAGGUUCCUAGACGUUUGGAUGCAUACCAUAAUAUCAUCCAGGAUCAGUUAAAAAAGAAAUUUUUUGAGAAAGUUCCUGAUGCAGUAGCUGGUGCUAAUACACAUUAUAUUCCACAUCAUGGGGUGCUUAAAGAUUCAGACACUACCCGCUUAAGGAUAGUGUAUAAUUGCAGUGCUCGAGAUAGAAAGGAUAAUCCUUCUCUCAAUGAUUGUUUAAUCAAGGGACCCUCCCUGACAGAGAAGUUAGGUGAUGUUUUGUUAAAGUUUAGAGUCAAUGAUUUUGCGUUUUGUGCAGAUAUUAGUAAGGCCUUUUUGCGGGUAGGCCUGCAGAAUGUUGAUCGAGAUUAUGUCAGGUUUGUGGUUCCGAGAUCCGCAUAACCCAGAAGCAGGUUUAGACACUUAUAGAUUUGCUAGUGUGCUGUUUGGUAGCACAUCAUCUCCAUUUUUGUUGAUGGCAACACUUGACUAUCAUUUGAGUAGGUCAGGUAGCCCUCUUAAGAAUUUGAUUGCCAAAUCCUUUAAUGUUGAUAAUCUUCAGGGUAGUAUGUCCAAUGAAAUAGAAUUGUUAGAAUUUUAUGCUGAGGCUAACAAGCAACUGAGGAGUGCCAAUAUGCUACUCAGGACUUGGGUAACUAACAAUGAGAAACUUAAAACUAAAAUUGAAGAAGAUAACAGUGGUUAUGUUGUUCCUACCACUACUUCAGUUCUUGGAUUGAAUUGGGAUGUCAACUCAGACAUGCUUAGUCUGAAGUCGGCUAAAAUAUUUGUACCUGAAGUAAUCACAAAACUCAAUUUACUUUGUUUGGUCUCAACGGUUUUUGAUCCACUAGGAUUCCUUGUCCAGUAAUCAUAAGGGGUAAAAUCCUUAUUCAAGCUGCUUGGAGGACUAAUGUCUCCUGGAAUGAUCCGUUAGGUGAAGAAUUUUCAAGUAGUUGGAUGGAAUUAUAUGAAGAGUUCAAGGAACUUAGUGAAUUUUCAAUACCUCGCAAAGUUGCAACUCAAGGAGUAAACUAUGUUUUGCACAUAUUUUGUGACAGCUCGACCAAAGCUUAUGGUUGUGCAGCCUAUUUGGUAGGAAAUGGAGAAAGUAAUCUUGUUAUGGCAAAAGCUAAGGUUGCUCCCCUUAAAACAAAAAAACUUCCACAAUUGGAACUGACAUUAAUUUGGUUAGGAACUAAAUUAGCCAACUACAUUCACAAAAUUUUAAGUGAUAUUAAUAUUUCAAGAACUGUGAUUUGGUCUGAUAAUGAGGCUGCUAUUCAAUGGGUCAGAAAUGAUUAUUGCAAAAUUACUUAUAUCAAGAACAGGGUGGCUGAGAUCAGAGAAGUGUCGGCCAAUUAUCAAAUAUUUCAUGUAUCUACUGGAGAAAAUCCUACUGACUUAGUGACUCGUGGAGUUGAAGUUGAAGACUUAGUGUCAAAUUCUUUAUGGUUUGAAGGUCCUUCUUGGCUACCAUGUGAAAGUUUGUGGCCAAGUCAAAAGGAUGACGUUGUAGUUUAUGAGAUAACAGUGGAGUGACAAAUUGAUCCAGUUAAGUUUGAAUGAUUGUUUGAAGUUAGAGAAUGUUCUUCUCUGGAGAAGAUUUUCAUGAUAACGAAAUAUGUAUUUCAGUUUCUGAAAAAAUUGUUACUCAAGAUAUCACCAAAUAGUGUGUCAAAGAUAACUUUACCAGAUCCAGCAGUUUAUUGGCUGAGAUAUUAUCAACUUACUAAGUUUAAAGAAACUUUUUCUUGGCUGUUUUAUUCUGUGAAUCCUGAUCCUAUUGAAUUUAAGAGCUUGUAUGAUCUUUUGCAGAAACCACAUAGCUUGUCUGUGGAAUAUUCUGAUUUGAUUAAGGACUUAAGUCUGUUUUGAUCCAUCAAUUGGACUGAUGGUCAAGAGGUCACCUCCAGCAUGCUGAGAUUGCUGUGAAUUCCAAAUACCCUGUACUAGUUCCACCGGGAGAACAUUUAACUAACCUUUUCAUUCUAAAGCCACAUAGGUAUAAUUUACAUGGAGGAGUACAGGAAACUCUUGCUACUAUUCGUCGACAACUUUGGAUUCCCAAGGGAAGCCAAGCAGUAUGCAAAGUGUUUAGAAAAUGUGUUCUCUGUAGGAAAGUUGAAGGUAAACCCUGUAUUUACCCUGGUGCCCCUUCUUUACCUUUACAUAGAGUUGUUAUGAACAGACCAUUUGAGAAUGUAGGUGUUGAUUAUUCUGGACCUAUUGUCAUUACAAAGACUGAAGAUAAUGAGCCAAGGAAGGUUUAUAUCUGCUUGUUUACUUGUACAGCUACAAGAGCAGUUCACCUAGAUGUGGCUUUAGAUAUGACAGUAGAAUCAUUCUUAUUCAAUUUUUGUCGGUGUUGUGGCACCUGGUCUGUUCCCAAACAAAUAAUUUCAGAUAAUGGGACAAACUUUAAAGCAACUGCCAAGUUUCUUGAGGAAAUAUGUAGUGAUCCUCAAAUACGAGAAUAUUUUAGUAAUCGUGGUAUUGUUUGGAAAUUCAUCGCUCCCAGAGCACCUUGGCAAGGUGGCUUCUAAGAGAGGAUGAUUAAGGUUGUUCAGAAUUGUUUGUGAAAGGUUUUGUAUCAUAAGAGAGUCAGUUUAGAUGAACUUCAGACUGUGAUUGUUGAGAUUCAAUCUCGUGUUAAUAAUAGACCACUCACCUAUAUCAACAGUGAUAGGAUGUCUCCAGAACCCUUGUCACCUUCACAUCUAUAUGGCAGAUCGAUUGAAGCUAUGCCACCAGUAGUUUUACCGGAUGAAUCUGAUCCUACUUACAUGGACAACGAUCAAUUGAAUAAGCAAUUUUCCUUAUUGUCUAGUAUCAUUUCCAAGUUUGAGAAGGUCUGGAAGAAUGAAUAUAUUAUUUCCUUAAGAGAACGUCAUUAUGGUUCUGAUAGAGCUAGGGAAUUGAAUAAUCUUAAAGUUGGGGAUGUUGUUUGGUCCAAGUUGAAUCUCCAAGAAGUGAGUGGCCUUUAGGUAGAAUUGUUGUACUUCGACCUGAUUCAGGAGUCAUGCGUUCUGUAGAUGUGUACUGCAAAGGUCAUGUCAGUACACGAACAGUUGAAAAGCUUGUACCUUUAGAGGUUAGUGAACCAGUGAAUGAGGAACUUGUAGAUAAUCUUGAUGAUAAUGUGAACACUGAUGUUCCUAGUUCUGAAAUGCCUCAUCCCCUGGUCAAAUGAUUGAAACAUGUCCUCAACGUGCUAGCAAAACUAGAGCUACACUAGAGAGGAGGGAGCUCAUAAAACAAGGAGCUCUGUAAGUUAAGUUUAAUUCUUCUGUGAGAAAUCACCCUUUUUUGUUCCUUAAUUUUUUUUUGGCUUGGCCCGAGAAUGUCCUAAAAUGACACAUUUAAUUUUCAUUUCCAUGAAAAGAAAAGGUGUUAGUUUCUUUAUCAUUAACUUUACUUUAGAUUUUGUGGUUUACUAAUUAAUGAUUAUUAAAUAUUUUUAAUUGUGAUAUUUUUUUCGCAAAUGCGGUAAGAGUUUCCCUCCGUUUUUUUUCCCGCCUUAAUGUUGGGGUAAUGUGCGGUUGUCCGGGUUACUGUGCACACAUGGCAAUUUAAGGGGACAUUCUUGGAUCCCAAUAGUGGCGAGUGCUGCUAUUCUGUAUUGGUUAUACUAUGUAAUUAAGUGUACUUAUCUUCCUGAAGACAACGAACCAGCUAAGUAUCUUAUAUAAGUUAAUUUGCAUGGUUGGCCAAAGGUGUAUAGGAGUUAUGUAAGAAUGCUAGGUUAGUUCUCGUGUCUGCGUUUGGAAACUACCAAUGAGAUUUAAGGUAAACACAAGUUGAUUUCUGGUUUGUAAUAAAAUUCCAGUGCCUAAAAUUCCUACCGUUGUUGCCUUCCUAAAGAAAAUUGUGCUGUGGACCAUUUUGAGCAAUCGGAGGAUAUAAUUUCACCACAGUACCUUCAUGACAUUAUUUGAAAUUAGCACAAUUUUAGAAAAUAACAUAUUAAAACUCUAAAAAAAAUUACUAUAUUACAUGUGAAAGAUUUGCAGUUUUUAUAGUAUUGCUAUUAGAAUUCCAAAUCAUCAUUGAGAUGGGUCUCUUUCCCAAAUCUCCAUUGGCUGAGAGUUAACCAUGGUACAUAUACCCUUAGGGUCUCCAAAAAUGUUUCUUAUUUCUUGCCAUUUUUAUGGGAAAUUUAAUUUUCAGAUUUGUGACAGGAUCAGUCGGUUCAGGGAACCAGAAGACGUAUGUUCAUAGUUUGUUUGUAUGGUGUUUUUAUGUUGCAUGGAACCAGUGGUUAUUCAGCAACGGGACCAACGGCUUUACGUGACCUCCGAACCACGUCGAGAGUGAACUUCUGUCACCAGAAAUACACAUCUCUCACACCUCAAUGGAAUGCCCAAGAGUCGAACUCACGACCACCGAGGUGGCAGGCCAAGAACAUACCAAUCAUGCCACUGAGGCGCUUAUAUGUUCAUAGUUGAAACCAUGGGUGGCUAUUUGGCAAGUAGCUGGUCUUGAUGUUGGUGCUGAUAAAGCCUAUAUUUUUGAAGAACAGUUUGGCAUCCAGACAUGGGUGUGAUGUUCUUAGCCAAAGAGCUGUCAGAAGAAUUGCAGUUGGAUGUUUUAUCACAUGGCAGCCAAGAUGGAUGAAGGUUUGCAAAGAGGCCUUGUAAUGAGGAAUGAAAAUGCAAAUGACAAUUAUACAACGGACUUUAUGUAUAGGCUAUACUUUGAGGAAGGCAAAUGCAUUUUCAGCUGCAGAAAGAAUGUUUUAGGUCACAUGCAGCAAGGUGGUUCCCUAUCAGGGUUUGAUCAUAACAUGGGCACAGAAACUGCAGCCAAAGCAGAGCCAAAGCAGUCACAUGGAUGACUGAAAAGAUGAUAAAGCACAGACAGUGAUGGGUCAGCGUUUUGUGAUGAAGCCAACACUGCCGUUACUCAGGGUUUACAAAAGAGGCAAUAUAUGUCCUGUCCGAGUUCGUCGCAUGAUGAGACUUCUCCGACUUCCGUGUACGUGAUGGAGAUCCUACUCCUGCUGUUCGUCUUCCAGAGUCUGGGUUUGAGACUGCUAGCGAGAGUGAUCUUCCCGACAUUAUCUGUUGGGUCAUUCCACACAUCACGAAUAUAAUCGUGAUUUGUCACGCCAGUGCAAGUGAUGAAGGUCCUACUCUUGCUGUUCAUCUUCCAGAGUCAAGUUGGGAUACCUAUAGGCAAGAGUGAUCUUCUCCCUGGUGUUCUCACUUGGAUCGUUCUACAUAUUGCGACCGUGUAUGUGAUCGAGGUCCUACUCUUCCAGAGUAAGGGUCGAGAGACUACUAGCCAAGGGUGGUGGUCUCUUUAAUGUUCACUUGUAGGUCAUUCUGCGUCACACCACCGUGUAUACGUGUCUUUACUUGUCCAUGCAUGUGGUUUAUCGCUCGACCAUGUACUUGACCCAUGUACAUGAUUCAUCACAAAAUAGGUGUUUGAUUCAUUCCAUCACGUUUGUUUGUGGUGGUUUUACGUUGCAUGGAACCAGUGGUUAUUCAGCAACGGGACCAACGGCUUUACGUGACUUACGAACCACGUCAAGAGUGAACUUCUAUCACCAGAAAUACACAUAUCUGACCCCUUAAUGGAAUGCCCGAGAAUCGAACUCGCGGUCACCGAAGUGGCAAGCUAAGACCAUACCAACCACGCCACCUAGGCAUUUCAUUCCAUUCCAACAACGCAUGGUCGUGUUCCAGUGUCUUCCUUUUCAAGUUGGAUUCAGAUACUGGCUUAUAUUUGUGAGCAUAGUUCUUCUGAUGGAAGCGACGGUGACCUACCCAGAGGUAAUUAGGAACGUCUGUGCUAAUGCCAGUCAAUGGAUUCAUUCAAUCAAGCCAUCUAGCCCUCUUUGGGAUUCAGCCCUACUUUCUGGUCACGUACUCGAGUCUAGGCCAAGAAGGCUUCAAAGUGAGGGAAGAUAAGGAAAUGCUUGCCUUUCUAAUUUAGCCUAUGAAAUUAACUAAAGUUAUUAAUAAAGAAAUACUAUACAAACCAACAUCAGUUCAUACAUACAAAUUACACAAAAAUCCCUUAAUCCAUUAUAAAUACCUCAGUAUUGUUAGAAAUACCAGAAAAUUGGCAUUUAACAUUGCUGAGGCUUGAGAGGUAAGCAGGAACAGAUUACAUGGAUAAACUUACAACAUCUGAUUUCAGUAUGAAAUAUGCAAAUAAUGAGAACUUUUGUUGGUAAUUCCAAUUAGCACUCAAAAAAUAUAGUACAAAUAUGCAAAAAAUGUAGAAAUGUAGCAGACCUGAAAAGUUUUACCACCAGAAACUUCUACAUUUGCCUAAAAUUUUCUCUAAUCCAUCAAGUUAUGAAGGAGCUACAGACAUAUUUUCCCUAAAAUGGAUAUCAUGAAAUCAAUUUACUUACACAUAUU